rnacentral:rRNA from 1 species
AGUCGAGCGAGAAUGUCUUCCGACUGAGAAAGCGGAGGACGCGUGAGCAAUGUCUCGUCAAUCAUCCUAUAACUGCUGGAUAACGUGGGAAAAACCCCGCAUGUACCGCGUACAUCUUACUUUAGACAGCAGAGGACCUUCCGUCCUUGUACCUAUUAUAUGAGCCCAAAGCGUAUUAUCUACUUGGUAGGGUAAAUGCCUACCAAGGAGGCUAUCCCUCUCUGGUCUGAAAAGAUGAUCAUCCACCCUGCUACUGAUACAAGGCCCGAACUACUCCUAAAGGCAGCAGUGCUGAAUAAUGUACAAUGCGGGAAGGACUGAUGCCGCCGUGCUGCGUGUGUGAUUAAUGACUUAUGAAUAUAAAGCACUUCCUGAGGAAAGGAACAGUGCUAAAUUCAUACUCUCCAGCUGCGACGUUACCUACAGAAGAAGCACCUCCGGACAUUUUGGCGGCAACCGCGGCAAUACGGAGGUUGCGAGCGUUAAUCUGAAUUACUGAGCGUAAAUCGCGCGUAGGCAGUUUGAUAAUCUAACUGUGAAGUCCCUGGGCUCAACCUGAUAACUGCUGUUACAACUGUCUGACUAGAGUACUGCGAAGGGUGGCGGAAUUACCUGUGUCGUGGUGAACUGCAUUGAUAUUCGAGGGAACAUCACUGGCGAAGGCAGCCGCCUGGACUGACACUGGACGCUCAGGCGCGAAAGCGUGAAGAGCAGACACGAGUAUAUCUACUGCUAGUCCACGCCGCCAAAGAUGUUUACUAGUCGCUGUGAGAAAUCAUCUCUCAGGGGUGCACCUA